UAGAGCCAAGAUGGAUGAUAUUGUGG
rnacentral:piRNA from 1 species